rnacentral:rRNA from 1 species
AACGAACGCUGGCGGCAUGCUUAACACAUGCAAGUUGAACGCAGAAUAAGCCUUCGGGUUUAUUGCUGAGUAGCAAACGGGUGAGUAACGCGUGGGAAUCUACCUUUGUGUGGGGGAUAACUGAGGGAAACUUCAGCUAAUACCGCAUACGCUCUAUGGAGGAAAGGCCUUUCGUUUUUCAGUAAUCAGUAGUCAGUAAUCAGUAGUCGGAUUUAGAGUGGAGCAUUGAUGCUUCAUGUCAAGAAAAUCUGAGCACUGAUUGCUGUCUACUGGUUACUGCGAAGCUAGGUCGCACAAAGAGGAGCCCGCGUCAGAUUAGGUAGUUGGUGGGGUAAAGGCCUACCAAGCCAAUGAUCUGUAGCUGGUCUGAGAGGAUGAUCAGCCACACUGGGACUGAGACACGGCCCAGACUCCUACGGGAGGCAGCAGUGGGGAAAUUUGGACAAUGGGGGAAACCCUGAUCCAGCAAUG